rnacentral:tRNA from 3 species
GGAGAGAUGGCAGAGUGGUCGAUUGCGGUGGUCUUGAAAACCAUUGAGCCGAAAGGUUCCGGGGGUUCGAAUCCCUCUCUCUCCGCCA